AUGGGAAAAAUGCUGGAAGAGGAAUCAGUGAAGCCUGUCAGCGCUGAGGGCAGGGGUGAGGUGCUGGGUGACAGACCCGGAAAGUUUGCCCAGGUACAAAGUCCUGAUGAAGAUAUUUCUCCCAAGCCCACAAUUUGUCUUCCUUCAAUUACUGAAAUAAAAGUCCAUAGGGCUGGAACAUAUCUUUGUUUUCUUGAGGAUUUUCCCCCUAAUGUUAUCAAGAUAGAUUGGGGAGAAAAGGAUGACAAAACAAAUCUGAAAUCCCAGCAGGGAGACACCGUGAAGACUAAUGACACACACAUGAAAUUCAGCUGGCUGACCGUGACUGGAGCAUCAAUGGAUGAAAAACACAGAUGUAUCAUCAACCAUGAGAGUGAUAGAAGAAAAAUUGAUCAAGGGAUUCUUUUUCCUUCUAUAUACAAAGAGCUUGCUGCUAUUAUCUCCACAAAAGCUUCUCUGAAUGAUGAAAAUGAGCAGCUGCAGCUCAUGAACACAUCUGCCUAUUACACAUACCUCCUCCUCUUCCUGAAGAGCCUGGUCUACUCCACCAUCAUGGUCAUCUAUCUACUUGGGAGACCAGCAAUCUAUGCCAAUGAGAAGAGUUCCCAACACAAUCCUUCCCAUUGGCUAUUGUCCUUAAAAGUGUCUGCUGAGGAUCUAGUGGGACUUCUUUUGGAGACUGGGUAUUUCAGUUCACCUGUGUCUUUUUCUACUGUGUCGUUGUUGCAUUACUGGUUUACAAACCACUGGGCAUACAGAAGCUUUCAGUCUGCAUCAAAAACAAAUUUCGCCAUGACUCAGAGUUUGAACCAGAGGGCAUCCACAGGGGCUUCAACACUGCUCCCUCUCCUUAAUGUCCACCAGUUCCUCAGCCACCCUGUCCCCAUGCCUCUGAGUACAGCCAACGUGCAUCUUCUUGUCAUGUCCUCCAGGGGUCCUUUAACCAUAUGA